AGAGUUUGAUCCUGGCUCAGGACGAACGCUGGCGGCGUGCUUAACACAUGCAAGUCGAGCGAUGAAACACCUUCGGGUGUGAAUUAGCGGCGAACGGGUGAGGAACACGUGAGAAAUCUGCCUUCAACACUGGGAUAACUCCGGGAAACCGGGGCUAAUACCGGAUAUGAAAUCUGCGGGCAUCCGCGGAUUUGGAAAGUUUUUCGGUUGAAGAUGAUCUCGCGGCCUAUCAGCUUGUUGGUGAGGUAAUGGCUCACCAAGGCGACGACGGGUAGCCGGCCUGAGAGGGCGACCGGCCACACUGGGACUGAGACACGGCCCAGACUCCUACGGGAGGCAGCAGUGGGGAAUAUUGGGCAAUGGAGGAAACUCUGACCCAGCGACGCCGCGUGCGGGAUGAAGGCCUUCGGGUUGUAAACCGCUUUCAGCAGGGAAGAAGCGAAAGUGACGGUACCUGCAGAAGAAGCACCGGCUAACUAUGUGCCAGCAGCCGCGGUAAUACAUAGGGUGCAAGCGUUGUCCGGAAUUAUUGGGCGUAAAGAGCUCGUAGGUGGUUCGUCACGUCGGAUGUGAAAAUCUGGGGCUUAACCCCAGACCUGCAUUCGAUACGGGCGAGCUUGAGUAUGGUAGGGGAGUCUGGAAUUCCUGGUGUAGCGGUGGAAUGCGCAGAUAUCAGGAGGAACACCAAUGGCGAAGGCAGGACUCUGGGCCAUUACUGACACUGAGGAGCGAAAGCGUGGGGAGCGAACAGGAUUAGAUACCCUGGUAGUCCACGCCGUAAACGGUGGGCACUAGUUGUGGGGACCUUUCCACGGUCUCUGCGACGCAGCUAACGCAUUAAGUGCCCCGCCUGGGGAGUACGAUCGCAAGAUUAAAACUCAAGGAAUUGACGGGGCCCCGCACAAGCAGCGGAGCAUGC
rnacentral:rRNA from 1 species